rnacentral:rRNA from 1 species
CCAAUAGCGUAUAUUAAAGUUGUUGCAGUUAAAAAGCUCGUAGUUGAAUUUCGGGGUCAGCAGGUCGGUCGUGCCACUGGUAUGUACUGGCUUUGCUGACUCCUCCCUCUUGACGAACCGUAAUGCCAUUAAUUUGGUGUUGCGGGAAAUCAGGACUGUUACUUUGAAAAAAUUAGAGUGUUUAAAGCAGGCUUACGCUUGAAUACAUUAGCAUGGAAUAAUGAAAUAGGACGUUCGAUCCUAUUUUGUUGGUUUCUAGGAUUGACGUAAUGAUUAAUAGGGAUUGUUGGGGGCAUUAGUAUUAAAUUGUCAGAGGUGAAAUUCUUGGAUUUAUUGAAGACUAACUACUGCGAAAGCAUUUGCCAAGGAUGUUUUCAUUAAUCAAGAACGAAAGUUAGGGGAUUGAAGACGAUCAGAUACCGUCGUAGUCUUAACCAUAAACUAUGCCGACUAGGGAUCGGAUGAUGUUAAUUUUUUAAUGACUCAUUCGGCGCCUUACG